rnacentral:rRNA from 1 species
CCUACGGGUGGCAGCAGUGAGGAAUAUUGGUCAAUGGGCGGAAGCCUGAACCAGCAACGCCGCGUGGAGGAUGAAGGUUUUCGGAUUGUAAACUCCUUUUGUUGGGGAGCAAGGCCCGCCACGUGUGGCGGGAAGGAGAGUACCCGAAGAAAAAGCAUCGGCUAACUCCGUUCCAGCAGCCGCGGUAAUACGGAGGAUGCGAGCGUUAUCCGGAUUUAUUGGGUUUAAGGGGUGCGUAGGCGGAAGGUUAAGUCAGCGGUAAAAUGUCGGUGCUCAACACCGGCCUGCCGUUGAAACUGGUCUUCUUGAGUGAGCGAGAAGUAUGCGGAAUGCGUGGUGUAGCGGUGAAAUGCAUAGAUAUCACGCAGAACUCCGAUUGCGAAGGCAGCAUACCGGCGCUCAACUGACGCUGAGGCACGAAAGCGUGGGGAUCGAACAGGAUUAGAUACCCUGGUAGUC